CCUACGGGAGGCAGCAGUGGGGAAUCUUAGACAAUGGGCGCAAGCCUGAUCUAGCCAUGCCGCGUGAGUGAUGAAGGUCUUAGGAUCGUAAAGCUCUUUCGCYGGGGAAGAUAAUGACUGUACCCRGUAAAGAAGYCCCGGCUAACUCCGUGCCAGCAGCCGCGGUAAUACGGAGGGGRCUAGCGUUGUUCGGAAUUACUGGGCGUAAAGCGUGCGUAGGCGGAUCAGCAAGUUGGGGGUGAAAUCCCGGGGCUCAACCCCGGAACUGCCUCCAAAACUGUUGGUCUAGAGUUCGAGAGAGGUGAGUGGAAUUCCGAGUGUAGAGGUGAAAUUCGUAGAUAUUCGGAGGAACAUCAGUGGCGAAGGCGGCUCACUGGCUCGAUACUGACGCUGAGGUACGAAAGUGUGGGGAGCAAACAGGAUUAGAUACCCUGGUAGUCCACACCGUAAACGAUGAAUGCCAGUCGUCGGGCAGUAUACUGUUCGGUGACACACCUAACGGAUUAAGCAUUCCGCCUGGGGAGUACGGUCGCAAGAUUAAAACUCAAAGGAAUUGACGGA
rnacentral:rRNA from 1 species